UCUUUAAUAGGAACUUUCUGAAG
rnacentral:piRNA from 1 species